rnacentral:lncRNA from 1 species
CAAAGGGUAGGUCCCGACAGCCACAGUAACAACUCUUGCUCCAUUAUCGAUCCGAAGAGUGAUCUCAUCUUUUCUUAGCCCUCUAACUCUUCUAGAUCUUGUAUAGAAGUACACAAGUGAGCACUUGAACUGAAAUCUAGAACCCAACUAGAAGAAGAAAAAAUCGUUAGAUUAGUUUUAAUUAUGAGCAAAUCAGAUAUACCUUCAGAAGGCUCAUCCUUCUUCUUAUUCUUCACGGUUGCCAGGU